GACGAACGCUGGCGGCGUGCUUAACACAUGCAAGUCGAACGGAAAGGCCCUGCUUUUGUGCGGUGCUCGAGUGGCGAACGGGUGAGUAACACGUGAGUAACCUGCCCUUGACUUUGGGAUAACUUCAGGAAACUGGGGCUAAUACCGGAUAGGAGCUCCUGCUGCAUGGUGGGGGUUGGAACGUUUCGGCGGUUGGGGAUGGACUCGCGGCUUAUCAGCUUGUUGGUGGGGUAGUGGCUUACCAAGGCUUUGACGGGUAGCCGGCCUGAGAGGGUGACCGGCCACAUUGGGACUGAGAUACGGCCCAGACUGCUACGGGAGGCAGCAGUGGGGAAUAUUGCACAAUGGGCGGAAGCCUGAUGCAGCAACGCCGCGUGCGGGAUGACGGCCUUCGGGUUGUAAACCGCUUUCGCCUGUGACGAAGCGUGAGUGACGGUAAUGGGUAAAGAAGCACCGGCUAACUACGUG
rnacentral:rRNA from 1 species